GACGAACGCUGGCGGCGUGCCUAAUACAUGCAAGUAGAACGCUGAAGGAGGAGCUUGCUUCUCUGGAUGAGUUGCGAACGGGUGAGUAACGCGUAGGUAACCUGCCUUGUAGCGGGGGAUAACUAUUGGAAACGAUAGCUAAUACCGCAUAAUAGUAGAUGUUGCAUGACAUUUGCUUAAAAGGUGCAAUUGCAUCACUACUAGAUGGACCUGCGGUGUAUUAGCUAGUUGUGGUGGUAACGGCUUUCCCAGGCGACGCUACGUAGCCGACCUGAGAGGGGGAGCAGCCACACUGGGAGGGAGACACGGCCCAGACUGCUUCGGGAAGCAGCAAGAGGGAAACUUCGGCAAUGGGCGGAAGACUGACCGAACAAGGCCGCGGGAGGGAAGAAGGUUUUCGGGUCGUAAAGCUCUGUUGUAAGAGAAGAAAGAGAGUGAGAGUGGAAAGUUCACACUGUGACGGUAGCUGACCAGAAAGCGACGGCUAACUACGUG
rnacentral:rRNA from 1 species